GGGCCGUUAGCUCAACCAGGCAGAGCAACUGACUCUUAAUCAGUAGGUUGAAGGUUCGAUUCCUUCACGGCCCA
rnacentral:tRNA from 1 species